UGCCUAUAUCACAUUGAAACACCGGUUCUCAUAUGAUCACCAUAGUUAAGCAUGCCAAGCCUGGUCAGUAACUAGAUAGGUGACCACUUGGGAAUACCAGGUACUGUAAG